GAAGAAAACCGUUAAAAUACCCUUCGAGGAAGCAUUGGAUAGAGCUGGUUACGGUCUAUACAGUUACAUCAACACAUUCCUGUCAGGGUUGUCCAUCAUGUCCCUGGCCUGCGUGGUCUACGGGUCAACACUGACUGUGGGGGCCAGUGCCUGUGAACU